GUUGAACGCUGGCGGCAGGCCUAACACAUGCAAGUCGAACGGAGCGGCGGACGGGUGAGUAAUGCCUAGGAAUCUGACUGGUAGUGGGGGAUAACGUCCGGAGAGGGGCGCUAAUACCACAUAAUAGCAGGUGAGCCUCGGUCGGCUUAGCUGGUUGGUGGGGUAAAGGCUUACCAAGGCGACGAUGUGUAACUGCGCUGAGAGGAUGAUCAGUCACACUGGAACGGAGACACGGGCCAGACUCCGACGGGAGGCAGCAGUGGGGAAUAUUGGACAAGGGGCGAAAGCCUGAUCCAGCCAUGCCGCGUGUGUGAAGAAGGUCUUCGGAUUGUAAAGCACUUUAAGUUGGGAGGCGUUACCAACAGAAUAAGCACCGGCUAACUUCGUGCCAGCAGCCGCGGUAAUUC
rnacentral:rRNA from 1 species